rnacentral:tRNA from 1 species
GCUCUCAUCGUUCAACGGAUAGGACGCAAGAUUCCGGAUCUUGUAAUUGAGGUUCGAAUCCUCAUGGGAGCACAA